GACACAUUUCACUACUUGGAGGUAGUUGGUUAAGAAAAUCUGUCUUGACAGAGUGGACGUGCUAAUUUGAGACAGAUGUCAAGAGACUGCCUGAGGCUUAGAGUGCUUUUUUGAGCAGGGAUGUGAGAUGAUCAAAGUACCCUCCGUGUGGACUCGGCCUCCAGCCUCUCAAGGCAGUGGGCAGCACCUACAGCCUUUGGAGCAGCCUCUUUUUAAGAAGGCAGCCUAGUCAGCCAGAGACCCGGUCAGUGCUGCUCAGAGUAGGGUCAGUGGCUCCCUGGGCGCCUAGUCAGGGAGGCCAGCUCUCUUCUCACCUGUCUUGUGGAGUUUUCCUCUUCUUAGCAAGCUCCUGUGUCUCAGGAGACACACCAUGAUAGGUUUCACAUGCACUUGAAACUGGAAUUCAUUUCUAGCUAUGUGGCUUUGUUUCCGAAUCUCUCCCGCCAUGAGACCCUUUUGUGUUAAAUGAAGAUACACUGUUUAUACUGGGGGCUGCUGAUGAGCAGGAAACAGAUCACAUCUAUAAGCUGGCUAGGGAUCAUAUGUCAGAUGAAGCAAUGAUAAUAAUAUGGAGCACAAUGAAUGCUUUCAAGUAACAAGGGGAUCCAUUUGGAGUUUUCAUUAGUCAAGGUGGAUAUUCAGUCCAGCUGUAAAAAAAAAAAAUGAUGUUUAUCCUAAAACUGGAUGGAGCAUAAAAGGAGAGACUUCCAGGGAAUUCUCCUCAGGAGGCUGAGCCAGCCAUCACCAAGUGGCUUCUAGAGUCCCAGGAGGGAGUGAGGCCAGAACACUAUGUGCCUGGGCUGAGGAACGAGGCUCCAGACACCACUCUGGCACGGCACCCAAGAGCCUGUCCCGGCUCCCUGGCUCCAGCACCCCCUGGUGGAGGGGUGGGCAAUAUUUCUGGACCUCCCUGAGAAUGACAUUUACUUAUGUGUCUUAUCUCUCUACUUUUGCAUCACGUUGGUGGCAUGGGUACAAUUAUGUCCAUCUCCUACAGUGGGGAUGGCCCAGAGCAACUUCCGGCUCACACAUUGCCAGUGGGUGCUAGCAUGCUCUGUUUCCAUGCGGUCAGGGCUUCCUUUGGCCACCUCAGAGGAGGGAGGGGAGGAGAACCCAUGAGGGGGUUUAUAGUUUGGAUGGCACUGGGAAGCAGCUAUGGAGCCUAGUGCCUCUAAAGCAACCAAGCAACCAACCAGCGAGACCAAGUCCCUGGGAGCAGGGGCGGGGCAAGGGGAGGGGAUUUCCCUUCCAGGAUGUGCCCCCUCACUAGCACUGAGGGAUCAAGGACAGUCACUGACAGCCUAACAACACCACACUGGUAUCUUUAGGAGCAUCCCUCCCGCAGGGACCAGGGACAAGCUCAAAGGGAACACCAGUGGUCUGGUGAGGCUGCAGGAUCUGGACUUUUCCUGUUUUCUGAAAAGUAAGGCUUUCUCCUGUUCUGCACACAUCCCCUCCUGGGAGCAGGCAGCACAGUGAGCUGCUUAGGAGUUCUGCCAACUCCUACCUCUAUAUAGCUGUGUGACUCGGGGGAAAUCAAUUUCCCUCUCUGUGUGUAGUUACUUCUUCUGAAAAAAUGGGCAGGAUAAUAUCUACCUCAUCGGGCUGUUACAGAAAGGAAAAGGAGCCACUUAACACAUGGAAGAAUAUUACACAUCUGUAAUCGACAGCCCUUGUUAUCACAAUUAAGACUGGGUAAAAAGCACGUUGAUUCCACUAUGCCUUGGCAAGCAAGUCCACCCUCUAAAGCAAAAGGAGGGGAAGAUUAAUUGCUUUGUUUUCUUCCAUUUCCAAUCCCUCUCUCCAAGCUCCAAAACCCAGGAACUGUUGGACCGCUCAUUCAUUGGCAAAAAUCUGACCUGAAAUCAAGGAGUAUGGACUGACUCUCACCAAGUGUGAGACCCGUAUCUUGCUGCUGAAAUGGCCACAGGUUUGUGGAGGCGUGGGCACAGUGCCAAGCUCUUUGCUCAGACACCCCUUGGAAGAUGUUGUGAACGUAUUUCUAAGACAGUCACUGGCCUCUGCAGUCAACAGACUCUGAAGAGACUAGCUAGCCUCUGAGGGAGGGAAGAGAAAAGGGAAGAGUCCAGAGCUGGAGUCCAGGGUACUGACUGUGUUCUGAUUCUGAACUGAAAUGAUGGGGACCCAAGUUGCUGCUUUCUUAGUUUCCAAAAUACAUCAAUCAUACACAUACUGCUG